CCACACCUGUGGAAUUGAAUGGAUUCUCCUGUUCAUGUGCUGCUGGAGAGGCGUUAUGCAACCACGUGGUUGCACUGCUCUUCCAGACACAUCACUACCACUUCACAGGGGAGAAAAGCGUGCCAACACCUCUGUCGUGCACCAGUGUUCUGCAGUCGUGGCACCGACCAAGGACACAGGGGAUUCGCCCGGAACCCACUGACCAACUUGUGGUCAGAAAACCCAAGGCAGUUGGACGCACUAGCGUUAAAUCAACGCUGUAUCGAGCCUACCCAGGACCCCUUCCUGACCCUACGGUGCUGUCUGUCGGAGAU